CUCCACCUUGUGCACACCAUGUAAAAUGGUAGAGGUUUGUUUUUCUUUCAGUUUUUGACUUGAAAAAUGCUUGAGAAGUAACAGAUUUGAUUGCGGAUUUUAUAGAGGUGAAGGGGGAAGAAGAAGAAUCUUUAUUUCCAUAGCGCCAACAUAUUCUGCAGCACUUUACAAUCAGGGGUUCAUGUACAAACGGUCAUAAAUAACAUGGCAACAUACAUGUCAAUAUUUACAACAAGAAUGCGGACCCUGCUCUCAAGAGCUUACAAUCUAUGAGGAGAUAGGGGUGAUAGAAAAGGUAAAACCUCCUUCACAUGGGUGAUAUUGAAAUGCAUG